AAAAAUGAAGAUAAGCUUCAUUGCCCAUUACCAUUCACCGCCCACUUGGUCCUCUUUUUUUUCUUUUGUUUCCCUCUUUCUUGUGUGUAUUUGAAAUUCAAGAAUGAAAGCAAAGAACCUUCCUGCUUUGAAUCUACUCUCUCAACAACUUUCUUACCGUAAUUCUCACCUCACCAUGGAAGAAAUUCCAACCUUUCUAAACUCCAGUGUGAUGAAGAAUGUUCCUGUGACGAAUAACGAGAACAAAGGUUCACAGUUGACAAUCUUCUAUGGCGGUCAAGUUAUAGUGUUCGAUGAUAUUGAAGCGGAGAAAGUGAAAGAGAUGAUGUGUCUUGCAAGCAAAGGUUCAUCAUCAACGAUCUCGCAAUCAAACCAUCACAAAAACAAUAUCAAUAUCAAUAACAAUAAUUACGGUUACAGAGUGGCUCGGCGAUGUUCAUUUCCUUCGCUACCUAAUGAUGUGGUUCGGAAUAGAAGUUCUUGUGUUGCUCCUCCAACUUCUCCGUUUCCUUUUAUGAUUCCUGCUACCAUUCCCAACAAUUCGGUUAAGGAUCAGCACCCUCAACCACCUUCCAGAUCCGUUGUUUCUGAUCUACCACUUGCUAGGAAAGCUUCACUACACCGAUUCUUGGAGAAGAGAAAGGAUAGGUAAGAAAGAUGGAUUUUCUCCGAUUCUUUGUUUCUUAAUAGCACCUGAGAAUUUGAGUCAUUAAUUUGGGUUUUGAACGCAAGUUUGGAAUUCAAUUAUUGAACGCAAGGAAUUCGAAUAAUAUGAGGAUCCAAUUUAUGUCUAAACUGAUUCAGACCUAAAUUUGUCUAAUUUGCUGAAAAAAAGGGCAUUUAUGAAAACUGUAAUUACUUGAUUUUUCUCUUAAGAUCCAUUGAUUGAAAUUGACAUUUUUUUUUUCAAAAUUUUGUUGUGUAUUUGCAGAAUUGCUGCGAGAGCACCAUAUCAAACAAGCAGCCCCAUGUCAUGGCUUUCCAUGGUAGUUAGAUCACCACAAGAGAAUUCUGAGACUAGCUCCAGUGUAGUGUAAUAUUACCAAUUUGAUGUACUUAUUUAUAGGGUUCUCUACUAGUCCUAUGCUAGAUAGUUAUAUCCCUCUCUCUAUAUAUAUAUAUAUUCAUUGAUGUUAUCGUUCAUGCUUACUAUGAUGGUCAAUUAGCAAAAACAAAGGACUAUCAUUUAAUGCUGUUACCUCUUCUAAUAGCUCAAUGAAAAAUGUUCCCGGAUAUUAAUGUUGAA